rnacentral:rRNA from 1 species
ACGAGACCUUAACCUGCUAAAUAGCCCCACUCACUUUUGUGGGUGGCUGGCUUCUUAGAGGGACUUUUGGCUCAAGCCAAUGGAAGUACGAGGCAAAAACAGGU